AGAUUUCUGUCUGCCUCUCAUUGGCAAACAUGACAUUUCAGCAAUUUCUCUAAAGAGGAAUGACUGGGGGAUUUUUUGUUCAUUCUGAAAAUCACAUCACCAGAUCCAACACCUUUUAAUCCCAAUCACCAGUACAAGCCACCUGUAUCAGUGUACACUGUGGCUGACCGAUCCACAGUGAUGCUUUGAGCACAAGGAAGGACUUUCUGGAAUCUACUUAUCUGAUCAAGAAAGCUUCUUUCCAAAAGAAAUGCAAUUGUCUUGAGACUUCUUCCCUAGGGAUCUGAUCAACUAACCAGAAAAGAGCAACCACCAGAGAAGAGACUGUGGGUGUCAUUGUGACUGGCUGCUACCUCCCCAUGAGUCUUCUAAAAUAAAACCUGCAAAUUCACAUCUUCCCCAUGCUUCCAGAGAAUGCAUAUUCUUCCUUUGAAAAAAGAAAACCAGAUUGAAGCCACAAAAUCCACAGCACACAAAGACCCUGCUACCAUGUAUUCACUUCAGUGAAAGGGAAGCACCGAAAUGCUGAGUGGGGGCAGGUACAGAUACUUCAAUCACUGCUGAUGG
rnacentral:antisense_RNA from 1 species